rnacentral:misc_RNA from 1 species
GAUGAAGAACGUAGCGAAAUGCGAUAAGUAAUGUGAAUUGCAGAAUUCAGUGAAUCAUCGAAUCUUUGAACGCACAUUGCGCCCGCCAGUAUUCUGGCGGGCAUGCCUGUUCGAGCGUCAUUUCAACCCUCAGGCCCCGCCUGGCGUUGGGGAUCGGCGCGGCCCUCUCCGGGCUGCCGGCCCCGAAAACUAGUGGCGGUCUCGCUGUAGUCCUCCUCUGCGCAGUAGCAAUGCUCGCACUGGAACUCGGCGCGGCCACGCCGUAAAACACCCCACUUCUGAAAGUUGACCUCGGAUCAGGUAGGAAUACCCGCUGAACUUAAGCAUAUCAAUAAGCGGAGGA